GCUGGCGGGUGCUGGGGGGAGCAGGCGCCCCGCAGCCCCAGCCAGGGCGAGCCGGGCAGGCGGCUGUCCCCCUGCGGGGCGGCCCGAGGCAACAGUGAGCGCCCGUUGCCCGUGGAGAGGAGCGGGAGCGCUGGUGCCAACCGAGGGGACGGACGUGACUUUCCUGGGUGGCUUCCUGGCUCACCGGGGAGGGAAAGUGCCGCGUGUCCUGCGCCCGGCGCUUCUCCCUGGGAGCUCCGGAGGGUGCCGGGAGGUGCCCGGCGCUGCACGGCCCCGGCGCAGCCCCCCCGGGGCGGCCAGUGCGAGGGCUGCAGGGCGAGGAUCACCUGCGCCCGGCAGCUCGGGGCUCUCUGUGACCCGACGUGCUGCUGAGGGCGAGCUGUUACGGAAGGUGUCCUCGUAAAUAAAAUCGGAGUUUUUGUGAGGUGCAGUCCCCAUACAUUUUUAACCACAGCGAUUACUAAAUUAAUAGCAGGCCCUAAGACAGAUGUCAAAACGUCUUGAAAAUGUUUAUCUGUGAAUAAUUGAGAAGGUGGUAAGACGCAUUAUCUGAUUGUAUAAUGAAAUAUGUAUGAGGAACAGCUGUUUGCAAUAGUCACCUCCCGUUGUUUCAUUAGCCUAGAGCCUCCCCCUGCAAGGCGCGCUUCCCUGAAGUUGGCCAUUCAGCGCCGGCUGCUUCCACCGGCGGCGGCGGCCGCGCUGUGUCCCCAGGAGCCGCGGCGGGGCAGGGGUGACCCGGUGCUGUCCCUAGGCCGGGCCGCGGGCUGUCCCCGUGGCACCUCUCACCGGUGGUUCGCUCCGAGGGCGGGAGGGCGGAGGCGCGGGUGGGGUCCGAAGGUGUCUGGCCGGGCAACCUCCAGCUGGAGAGGAUGCCCCGGGAGGAAGGAGGCUCGAUGCUCACCUCGGAGGCUCGGCGAGCGGCCAUUUAUGAAGGUUUCAUGCCGAGCAGCAACAGCCUCCUCCGCUACUUAGUGUUGACACAAACUUCCAGACGUCGAGCAUAUGCUGUUGCACAGCAUUGUUUAUGUGUGGUACCAGAUGUUGCUUUGCAUCCUAUUGUCUGGAGACAAUGUUUGGUUCAGGUUAAAAUAUCUUUACUUGAACUGCUCAGUUGGCCAUUGUGUGAGCAUUAGUGAAGUGUCAUGGAGAGGUAAUGGGAAGUCCGGGGAGGUUAGCUCUCCGAGCGUGGCCAGGAGGUCCCUGGUUCAUGGUGGGGUUACAGCCACCACUGUCAUCUUUUGUUUUCCCUCCUCAGAGAACCCUUGUCCUUCCUCUAAAAGGAUGUGCCCCGCUCUCUUUCCCCUCGGAGCUUUCUCCACCGGUUCCAUGAAACAGCCCGAUGUUUGUUUUUCUAGUUCCCGUAAAUCGCCCGAAAGAGGAAAGGACAGCGCGGUCCUGCGUCACCGCCGGCCGGGCCGGGCGGAGCGGGGCGGCCCCACGCCCCUGCCCGGGGGCGCCGGCGCCGGGGGGACAUCGGCCUCGGCCGCGGAGUUCACGCUCCGGCCGGGGCAGCGGCUCCUUGCCCCCGAAACGCCCGCCGUCCCCGCCGGCGGCGCGGCCGAGCGGCCCAGGCCGGGCGGGCGGAGGGGGCGGCGGGCCGCGCCCCGGCAGCACCAGCCGUUCGGCGGCAGCCCCCGUUCCGCCGGCCGGGGGAGCGGCUCGCCUGGAGCCCUUUCUUCCCUUUAACCCCGCAGCCUGGGCCGGCCGCGGCGGCUGACCUGUGGCAAGACUUUUGCUCCGGGAGAGAGCGGGGAAGAAAGCUAUAGACUUUAAUCGGAUUUCUCCCCAAACACUUCUGGUAUAAUAGAGUGAAGACUUGUACAAAGAAAAUUCACUGCAUAAACACCUGCCCAAGAAGGGAAGGUUUGCCCUUACCUCAUCUACAGGAUUUCUUUAAAUCGUCCAUAGUCCUUUGUAGCCAUAUACAGUAUGCGACAGAGCAAUUUGGAAAAGAUUCAUCUAUCAAGUUAAACAACUUUCUGGUGUAACUUCAGAGAGGUUUAUUGCUUAUUCAUGUGGAAGGUUGCCAAGAGAAACCCUCCAUGCUGGCCAAAGGAAUAAUACACAUUAAGAAAGAGUCUCUGAUGGCACCUGUGAUUAAAAUGAACAUUAAUUAAAAAUGGAUGGGUGAGAGGAAAUAAUGUUACUACCCUCUUUAGAUCAGGUACGAGAACAGGGCAAGAAUGACUGACUGAGACAUUAAGGCAGCCUCAGAAAUACAACAUAGCUGCCCUGGAUUCAGGGCUCUAGGAGAUUAACCUGCUUUUAGGUUUCUGUUCCUUUUUUCAUAGUCCCCAGUCAUCUUUUUGGGCAUAAUGCUCAAGCCCACAAAAUGUAGGUGUAAGAGAAAACAGUUUUUGAGAACAUUCAUCCCAAAUCUGACUGCAGAUGGUAUUUUGGAGUCACUUUUCCUUAGUUGUCCCGGCCUUUGCAAUGAAUACUCUAGUUCCUUGGAAGUAGAAAGCUUUAAAAAGUAGCAUACUUCCCUUUUCUGUGAUCCUAAAGCAUCAUCCUCAUAUUUUCCCUCAUUUAAGAGCCAGAAAGCACAAAAAGAAUGAAGUGCUAGGACCAACAAGAACAUGUGUUUUGCUGGCAAUGGUGAAUGGUGCACUUUAUCUGACGAAGUGUAAAUUUUUUGAUGCUGAGGGACAACAGCAUCACUUUAGUUCUUAUGAAGUAGGAAGUAGCUGAAAUUAUUUUUAUGUAAUUUUUCUUCCACUUGUGGCGAAGUGGUAUUUUCUUUAUUAGCAAGGACAAGAGGUCAUAAAUUUUGAAGUGCUAUGUAGCGUAAAACACUUAUUUGACUUAUCCAGAGCCAGGGUGCAAGUGCUUUAGGAUAGAAUCUGCUUUCCUCUUCUCCCAUUCUAUAUGUGAACUUCUACCUUGUUACAAACAUGCCUUAAUACAAUACCUGUGCACUCGUAUAACCAUACCAAUUCCACAGGGCCCACAGUUCACCCUUAGGAUUUAAGUGUUCUUAGUUAAGCUCUGUGAUGGCUUUCUGCGAGAAUGGGACUUUAAAUCACUAUGCCUACAAAACAGACCCACUGGGAAGAAACCUCUUUUCUGACUAACCUUAAAAUUACGUCAGUCUUAGGAAAAAGCGUGCUAUGAGUCCAUCAGUUUUCCCAGUAAACAUUUUCAAUGCUUUUUUACUGUGUAGGCAUAGCUUACCCCCUAUUUUACAUUGGAGAAGAGUUCAGAUCUUUGUUUCCAAGGCAAAGUUACAGAGAAAAGAAAGCUGUUCUCCUGGAAGAGCUGAUACCAGUAGCAGGAGGAAGGUUUUUUUGUAUACUAAAGAGGACUUAUGUUUGCAAGCUUUCCCCCCCCCUAGUUAAAACAGUUGGUCUAAAAGAAAAUACUGCUGCUUUUCUGAAAAUACUGGAGUUCUUGUCUGUAGACAUACUACUGCUACAACAGCAGUAACAUUACCAUACUUUGUCCUGUAGGUGUGAGCAAAGUAAACUUAUAAUGCUUUUGAGAUGAAUUCUUACCAUGCCUUUAGCCCUUUUGCACUGCUAUUUUAUUUGCAGUUGGUGCUCCCCUGGAAGUGAGCAGAGGCUCUGUGCUCGGACCUACAGCUUUGUAGGCUUUCCCGUAACACUGUCACAGAAUCCCAGAAGCACAGAAUGAUUGGGGUUGGAAAGGACCUCUGGAGAUCAUCUAGUCCAACCACCUGCUAAAGCAGGUUGUCCUAGAGCAGGCUGCACAGAGUUGCGUCCAGGCGGGUUUUGGGAGGACUAAGGCUUUUCUCCAGUUUACUCUGCAGCCCUCAGAAGUCUACCCUGAGUUAUGUUUACUGGGCUUACUACCUGUCAUAGUGAAAGUCAGAUGAGGAUGUUCUGCUACCACUACACUUGAGUAUUUGAGGAGCUCUAAAGAGCCUUGAGGUCCUCUACUGCUUUCAAGAUGCUUUCUCCCCACUCAGAGGAGCGUAAAUUCAGCCACUGACGGAGGUCAGAACAUGGAUCCGAGAGUUUAGCUUGUAAUGCCCCUGUGCUGCACUAGCCUUCAGAAAGGUAGCUGUCUGCUCCACAGGCGUGAGGCCAGCGCAGCCUGCACUUUGCUUUUCUUUAGAGACUCUUGCCAAGAGCUCUCUGGGUCUGAGGAAGCAAAUCAGCAUCGAGCCUUCAAGCAGAACUUGCCAGUCUGGCACCUGUUUUGUAGCACGGCAUUGCAAGGACUUCAGCUUUUCACAUCUCUUUAUUUAGUUUGACUGUUUAUGGCCUUUCAAAUACAACUGUCUUCUGAGUGCCCAAAUGCCGCAGGGGACAGUUUGGCUUUGUGAAAAGACAGGGAAAAAAUGGAAAUACAGCAGCUUCCCUAAAGGCUUAUUUAUAAGGUAGACUGCUGCUUGUGGCUUCUUUCCCAUGGAAGACAUAAUUUAUCCUAGUGUUUGACAUAUAUGAAGAUACCACCCCUGCUCUUUGCCAGCAUCAAAAGGAAGAUGUGCUCAAAGAUCUACAGCCCAAGUUGUAUGCAGAGAUUAUCAGCUGCUUCAGAUUAAGCACAUCUAACAUCACUGGGACCAAACUGGAUAUUGCGUUACUAUCCUUUUUACCAUUCUUUUUAUUCUUACAUGUAUAUACAAUAGUUCACUUGAAAAACAAAACACUGAAAUAAAAGCAGCACACAUUUUUCCUGCUGAAGUGGUCUACCUGGUAAUAAGAUACAAGUACUCAUUUCUAAAAGAUACUUUAGAAAGGGUCAAAGUUACAGUAGGAAAGGAAAGGUUCAGUCUGGCCUUUUCAAGAGAACUUGGUUGGUGCCUAAUAUUACUCCAUUUUGGUGGGAUAGAGCUAAAGCAUCACCAGAGUCCAGAGCAAUUUCACACAUAAGCAUGGGUAGAUUUCCUGGUGAACAUUUAAGGGUGUUGCAGCAUCCUCGCUAGAUUACAGUGUAAACUGUGGCCACGUCUCUGCUCUGCUCCCUACACAUGUUAUAGGUGCAAUCAUCUCUGUGUAAAUCCCUUUGGGGAUCUGGGCCUGAGUCUUUUUGAAAAUCCCACCCACAUGGGACACCCGUAGGUCAAAUGAAAAAUUGCAUAAGCUAUUAAAUAAAGCUAUAGCUUAUAAAAAGUUACCCACAAGAAAGGUACACAGGUUAGUGCUGCUCCAGGGCGUCCUUAAAUCACACUUCAGCAAGUUAUAAAGUUAUCUUUGGAGAGCAAUCAUACCAGGUUGUCAGCCCUAUAAAGAUAGAUUUAUGUGUCUCUGACAUGUCAGUUGUCGUCUUUGCCACUUCAUUGCGGCUGUGAUAUUUUAGCAGGAGGUAACCACCACUAUUCCCCUGCCUGAAAAUCCACAGAAUUUUUCUCUGUAAACAUCUCUUACCCUGGGUAUUUCCCCAUCGCAGGGCUCCAUCUCUGAAUUCAUCUGCGUGUUUGCUUAAUUCUCACUCACAGGUCAGUGCUUGUUUGUCUCAAAUUUUUCUCUUCUUAAUCUCAAUUUAUGUAGCAGAAGGUUCACAGGCAAACCUUUUGCCCACAGAAGGCUCCAGAGUUUAGUGUUUUUUUACUAGUCAUAUCAUUUAAACGGAGACAAUUUUUUCUUUCUGAGGAAGUAAUACAGGUCAUCAUCCUGCAUUGGAAAAGUUACAGUCUUCAUCAAGAAGGAGCUUCAUCUAGUGGUUUUGUUAGUAAUCUGUACUGUCGAUGCAAUAUUUUUGUUGAGCUUUCUUUCAGGGCUUGACUCAUUUCUCCAUAUAUUCUCCCAGCAUAUUGUUCUGAAGUUGGAAAAAUGAUUUGUUCUGGCUGAGUUUAAAGUGAACAAUUAGAGAAUGGGAACUCAUGGAGCGAGCUUAAGCAAAAUUAGCUCCCAGAGAAAGAGGCUCUAAUUUUCCUGAAAGGUGAGCACAGUGGCAGUGCUGAUGCCAGGCGGGAGGCUGUGUCCUCAUUUCAGCUACACCAGAGCCUGAACCCUUGCCCCAGGUUCACAGCCGUGCGCACAGAACUGGUGUUUGGUAGACAGAGGCUAGAGAGAGAAUAGUGCAUGAUCCAGUACAAAUCUUUCACCUAAGUGAUAUAAUGUUCCUGAUAGUCUUUAACUUUUGCACAAAAUGCCCCCUGGAGACAUGUUUACAGAGUUGCCAUUUCAGCAAAUGACAUUUUGCAUAUUCUUUGGAAAUGCCACAUAGGUAGUGCAAUCAUCGUCAGCUGCAAAGUGACCAUGUGAACGGAAUAUGACUCAGCUGCUCUCUGGGUUACGAAUGCAGGCUGGCUUAGACUGGCAGGCAGUAAGAGAAGCUGCAGUCGGCCUGGGAAGGGGAUAAAACACAUUCCCCUCAGCACUGCCGUUUUGGGAUUCCUGCAGUGUCCUACACAAUAUGCUGGCAUGUAGCGGAGAUCUGCUUCAUACCAAUGAAUAUUUUUUGAUAAAAAAACCCUCUUUCUAAAAGUUUCUUUUUUCAGAGUGAUUCACCAGAAUCAAGACUCAGAAGCUGCUAAGGAAAUAUUCUAAAAGCUUUAAUGGCAUCACUUUUGGAAAUUCCUGGUUAUUUCCUUUCUCUCAUUAUGGCACACCAAAACUUACUAAAGGCCCAUAUGAGUUUCCCCCUAAAUCCAUGCUUUAAUUUCCUGUUGUCUCCACUGAACUUUGUGACUAUGCUCUUGACUUUACUGAUCUGAUUAUUCCCUUUGCCCACACCUGCCUACUGCCAUCUCCUUCCUCAUGCUGGGGACAACCUGUUUUUACUAAUCACCAGAAAGCCUUUCUAUUUCUGGUUGGAAUGAUUUUUGAAAAUAACUUCUCUCUUUGCCAUUAACUCUCUUCAAAUGGUUGGUCAUGGUUUAUUCUGAAGUUGUCUGUUUCCUUUAGACUGUAAGUGUUUUACAAGAUAAAACGUGUCUGAUCUCACUGUUAACACUUUGCAGGGUUCAGAGCAGAACCGAGUGAGAUCAAGUAAACCCACUCAUGAAACUUCUCAGGAUUUCAUUGAUGCUCCAGUUCUUUCCUGUAGCAAACUCGGGUGCUUUUAGAAAGUUUGUUUUUAUACAAACACGCACAACAACAAAAGGGAUGUACAGCAUGUGAUCUCCCCUACAUUCUCAGGUUCAGAUUCCUGACCUGCUAUCUCUCUAACUACAGAUGACUGUGCCAAUUCACCCACAGCCUGAUAGUUAUCCUAGGGCAAGGUACACUCCACAGCUUCUGCUAGAGAUGAUCUGCUUCCUAUAGCAAUGUAUUCUUCAGAGUCAUUAGCUGAAUUUGCAUCCUCAUAUAUUGGGUGAGCGUCCCCACAACUGCGCUGCAGAACUGCACUGGAACUGAGCUGCACUUUCUAAUGAAAAUUCAUUUUGUUGAAAAAUUCCCAAUCAGCUCUAAUUUGGAAGCCCCAGCUGAGCUCCCGCUGUGAGACACAUAUCGUAAGAGACAGAUCUUGCUGUGAAGGGCUGGCGGGUUGGAGAGACGGAGGCUGAGAAGAAAAGCACAAUAGAAAGGUGAAAUGGCUUCCUUGGAAUCACACAAUGGGUCACUGGCAGUUUUAGGUCUUCCUAGUGCCAACCACAGCCCGUGCUACCUCUCACAUCCCGAGCUCACAGACAGGCUCUGCUUUCCCCCGGCCAUCUUUUCAUUAACUAGAUUAUUCUUGCGUGUAGAUUAAUGCAUGGGUGCACAAGUUCAGCAGUUUUGAACCUUACUCUUACAAGGCAUCACGUACAUAUAUGGUACCAUCAAAAACUUUGAGGCAACAGAUAACAAGGAUGUCACAGUAAAAUACUAAAAAGGCAGACCCUGGUGCGCCAGAGCAGGCAAGGGGAGAAGGAAAAUCAAGUACUGUUUGAACUAAAGUGUGUCAGCUGCUCUGAGCAAGGUAAGAAAUAUCAGUCAUGCUUUACAGUUUGGAAAAUCUGGCAUAAAUUCAUGCAUCUGAGCCUGUACAGUUUAUUAAGCCAAUGCCAUGGUCAGAAUGUGAUGCCUUACUUAAAAUUAAACUUUUUCCUUCAGAAGCUUCCCUGUGUCCCUAAGACUCUUUAGGAAUUUUUAUUCUAAGAGCAAUUUUUUUUUCUUGUGGUUUACACUGAUUAGUAGGAACAGAUUAGAGAUAACUUGUUGUGUUUUAUAAAUAGCCUAACAGUGUAUUUUGUAUCUUUUUCCCAAGAGCUUUCUGAAACUAAAAUUUCUCUUUGAGGACAGCUGGUCCAUGCCCCUGAGGAAAAAAGGUGCUUAUGGCAAGGCUGAGGUUAAUGAUUGUAAUUUACAGUUUUUGUGGAAAUAUAAUUUUGCUUUUGCAGAAAUCUCUCUCUCUCCAUUGUUUUAAAAAAGCAAAGAUACUUAAAUAGGGCUUUACAUUUUAUUACCCCAAAACGCAUUUGUUUGACUAGAUCAUGUCAGUAUGUUAACAAAAUAAUUGAUAUUCCAAACAUGCUUGGUGAACUUGAAUAGCAAAGUGAAGUUUAUAUAUUUAAUCAGAUAUAUUCAGUAAUUCUAGUGGAAGAUGCAGAAGUGUUUUCCAUCAAUAUUUCCUUAACUUUGAAAUGAAUAUACAUUGCCCAAGUUCUCGUUCUUGUGGAUCCAUUUUCUAUCCAUAACCAAGCAACUGAAUUUCUUUGUAUGAAUGUUUACAAAGGUUGAAAAGGAAAAAAAACCCACAGGGCUGUAUGGGCAACCCUUCUUGCUGGAAGUGCUUUUACAGAUAGGUUUUCAAGGGAAGAAAAAGUUUUGCAGCUUUUCAAGCCGCGAGUUGUAAGGGGAAAGUGGCAGCUGAACAAAACAUGUUCUUUCAACCAAGCAGCGAAGCAACAGUAUAGAGCCAGAGCUGGUAGUCCUUGUGCUGCAAAUCCACAUCAAUUCAACUAAGACCAAGCACUUGUGAAUACUAAAUUCACACUAGUGUAGCUGGGAGUAGAAAUGGGCCUUUCUUUUCGAACUCUUUGGAAUCUGAACUGAAAAAAAGUAGCAGGGUUUAACCUUUAAACUUUUCACUGACCUGUAAGCAGUACUUUGGAUUAUAUCUGCCCUUGUUAAUCUGAAGCCACUUGCAAACAUAACUGGCAUUCCUGUUUUUAUAAGUAUACCUCACAUAGGUUAUAGAAUGGGUUAAAAGUUCAAAAGUUUGGCUCCUGUUCAUUGUGUCUUUAACACCUUUAUAAGUGUUCACCUUUGCAAAUAAAUUUUGUUAGUUAGCAGCAACAUAAGCAAUGCUUUGUGUCAAAGUGCAUUACUUAGGUGAUGGCCAGAUGUAAAUCUAAACUCUUGGAGGUGCAAACCCGAUUGUUGAUCAAGACACUAAAUUUUGCAGAAGUCCUGUGUUACUGUAGCGCUCUAUGAGGACCAGAUAUUUUAAUACCACUUUCCAGCACAGUGCUGGAUCUCGCUGUCGGUCUGUUAUCAUUUUAGCUUCAUCAGAUGAAACAGCAAGAUGGCCAAAGGCAGAUUCUCCUUUCUACAGCAUCCUGGGACUGGUAGCAGCUGCACAAGACGACUGACAAGAGGGAUUAUUCCCACCUUCACUGGGGAACGAAGAGAGACAGCAGCCCUGCUCCUUAGGCCAUUGGUUAGGACACUUAUGGGACCCAUGUGUUUGAAAGCUUCACGUGGGAAAAGAAAAUAGAGCCUGAAACACUCAUACCCCAGGCCAAAUGCAGUGGCACCAUGCAGCUGUCUGGAGCCACAUUCUUUCUUCUUGCCACCUGACAGAUGGCAGAAGGUGGGUGGCUUUGGCAAAAUUAAUUAGAGACGCACUGAAGAAACAAUAACCAUGAACACCCUCUGGCAAAAAUAUGAUGUUAUUUGGCACAAAGAACCUUUGUGCAAAAGCAUUGCAGCAGCAGAAGUAUCCUGACUACCCUGAAGAAGAGGUCACCCAACAGAAAACAGUCCUUGGCAAAAGGAGAGCAGCGUGGCCGUGAGGUGUGGUCAUUAUCGCCAUUACCGCUUCUAACGCCUAACAGCUGACUCAUGCAGUUAUUUUCACUGAAAUAGUUGAUUGCGGCACCUUUACUCCCCCAUGCUGUCCUCAGUUCUGCAGAUUGCCUCGCUGUGCCAAAUACAUUCAGUCCAUCGCUUUUUCUCACGGAGAAUAAUUUAUUUGGUGGAAGAAUAUCUCAGUCUACAAAAUAUCCCUGCUGGUUUCAGUGCCAUUGAAGGAGCAAGGUAUUUGUGAAUGUCAGAACAAAGUCCGGUGUGGAUAGCUGAAAAAUAUGGAUGCUUCACUGUGAAGAUGUCCUGUUAUCUGUUAUUCGACUUAGUGCUUGACAAAUAGAUUUGAGAAUGGUAAAAGUAACAAGCUAUUUCACAGAAAUUAUCUUCUCCACUUUCUCACCCAUCACAACAUCUUCUCACAAAGUUUUCCAUAUACUGGGAAUCUUGAAUCCCACAGAACUCUCUGGUGAUGACUGGGUAAAUGCUGGGUAUAUGAGGAAGAAAAGGAAUUGCUGGCAUCAAAUAGGGAAGUUAAGAGAAUCAGGGCUUGAAGUAUGAGGAAAGAAGUCGCACCAUGUGGGAAAGUUCCAUUGUGUUGGAAAGAAGUUCCACUAUGGUUUCCCAAUAUGUGUUGCUCCACAUCGGUGUCAUCAGUGUCGUCGGUGACAGACGGGAGAUAGGAUGGCUGCUUCAUCUCUGCUAUGAUCAUGCUAACAGAUCUAAGUACUGUGGUUGCUCCCUCUUCAUAGGGCUCGUGGGACUGAAGAGCAAAAUGUAACACAGCUCUCCAAGCCAGUGACUGCAGUGCUCGCUGUCCUGUGUUUUGCUCUUGUGGUCUUUACAGGCAUCUGCAGCAAGCCUAGGUGAGUUAAUCUGCCUGUUGCACUGGUUUGUUCAUUCUUCUCUGUAUGUGCUGGCAGCUCUGUUAUCCCCUAGUUGCCAAAUAUUAGGAAAGACAUAGGCAGCUGAACUUUUACCAUUUUCCUCCUAGAGCUGUUCACCCCUUGUGUGCAAUUCACCAGAGGGGCAGAUGAGCCAGGGGUAUGAUUUAGCCUUGUGCACCUCAACCCAUUUGGGAAAAUUGCUCCAUCUUGUCAUGAAGUCCAAAUCACCUGGUUGACCAGCCCAAGAGGAGAUGUGGCAUAUUCCCUGCCCCCUAACUCCGCUGAGAAUAGCAGUGCAGCAUCUAUCCGUAACCCAGCCUCAUACAUAAGUCAGCCUGCUUUCACAGAAAACUGCUCCAACUCUACUUACUCCAAUGCAGAGACUUCCACUAGGUUCCCUGGCUUUGACUGAUGCACAGAUUAUAUCUGCUUGCCUCCAUUUUUAGUGAAAGAUGGAUGGAUAGGGAAAGCAGAGAAAUAGAACCAUGUACACAGUUAUUCUAGGUCUAGUAAGCCCACAUAAAGAGAUGCGAGUCGUGAGGAAAGGGUCAGGACCUUGCAGGAAAGUUGAACAGGAGAAGAUGUUGGAUGGGAAAGUGGAUCAUUGAGAAAGUGAACAGGGAGGGAGAGUGAUAGAGACAGAAAACGAAAGCAAAAAAGACAUAAGAACUAUAUAAAGAAAUAAGGUGGAAAGAAAAAGCAAAUGGCAAGGAAGACUAAUUGCGUAUUUCAUUGUCUGAAACAGUGUUUGUAGCUGCGAUAUGACAGUAAAAAUCAGGCUUGUUUUCACAGAUAAACACAGCACGUUCACUGUCAGGAAAAGCAUGACAGAAACAACUAGGGAAGAAAGAAUGAAUGGUCAGUUAUCUCAAGGAGAGGAGGUGGCUGCUGGAGACCCACAGGAAUCUGGGCUGAGAUCUAUAUUAAAACAGAAUUACUCAAGAUAGAAAAACUAAAACUUAGGUGAAGAGUUCAGAAACCCCCUCUUGAUCCCUCUUGAUACUGAGUAUCUGGGUAAUAAACCAGAACUCAAUAAAUUCUAGUUCAAUAAUGACAAUGCAUGUAGGGAAAACAAAUACAUCUACAUGGCGAUGAGCACUAAAUGAGCUAUUUCAUCUCAGGAAACACAUCUUCAAGAGCCUGAUAAAGAUGUCAGCUUAGUGGUCAGCAGCAGUAAAAACAAUUAAGAAUUAUUAGGAAAACACUGGAGAAAAAAUCAGAAACUAUUCUGCUGAUAUGUAGCCUGUGGUGGACAGUCACCUCAUCACAAAAACAACGUAGGUAAACCUAGAAAAAUACACUGAAAGACAGAAAGAAUGGUUAUCUGCAUUGAAUAGCAUGUUAUUUCUUCAGGAGACACAGAGAAGGUAAAUAUGAAAGGCUAUUAACUAUUUAUCACAACAAAGGAACAAGUGGUACAUAAGAAAUCACGGGGCAACAAAGCAAAUGAAAGAGAGUAUUUUUUUCACAGAGUAGCUGAAGUGUAAGACUCUUUGCUACAAGAUGUUGCCAAGGCUUAAAGAUAAGUAAACUCAGAAAAGACUCAGUAAAUCAUGGAAGGCAAGCCCUGCCACAGUGCAGCAUUGAGAUGCCAGAUCUGGGUGUGUAGUAGUAGCAAGUGAUGAACCACUAUAUAGUUCUCCGGUUUUCUGGAGACAGAAUACUGGAAAAUGUUUUGUGUGGGUUUUUUUUUUCCCGUUAUGUUUGAUCCAGUCAGAAUACUCUUUGAUAGUCUUUGAGAUACAAAUAGAAAAGAAAAGAAAGUACAGUGCUUUUAUGUUUGCAGGGGAUACAAAGUAGCUUUCAGGGGUCUGAGCUGUGGGGCAAAAAGCUUGAUGCAUUUUCUUCCUGAGAAGGCAGCUGCUUUACCUUUGGCUCUGAUGUAACUUGGGGAACCUGUUGUACCAGGCCAGUCUCACAUCAUUUCAUGUCCUAUUUUCAGAAGUCCUCUUUCCUUUGUUGGUUGCAUUAAUGUUAUGCUACUUAGAGAAAAUAAUCAGUGUAAAAUUACGCACAUAUAUACAGAAUGGUUAAAUAAACUCUCGUUCCCUAACUCGGAAACACAACAUUGUUUCCUUUGCUGCCGUGUGGAUCAACCAGAUCUAAAGUUUGUGAAGUGAGCACAGUUUAUCCCAGACUCAUGCUGGAAUAAUUUAUGUUCUUGAGCCUUUGCAGAUGUAUAGUUACUAGAGAGCUGUCUGCCUACAGGAGUUUUUACACAUAUUUCACCUAAAUCAACGCUCCAAAUGCAACAUCGAAGAUGCAGUGAGUUUGUGUGGAUUUGUAGCACUCCCUGGAGGACUCUAUGUCUAAAAACCAAUAAACAUUUCACCAUUCUCA